UUGCCUUAUACAUUCUGUUAAAGAAAGAAGG
rnacentral:piRNA from 1 species